rnacentral:rRNA from 1 species
GGCAGCAGCCGCGGGAACACCGGCGGCCCGAGUGGUGAUCGUGAUUAUUGGGUCUAAAGGGUCCGUAGCCGGUUUGGUCAGUCCUCCGGGAAAUCUGAUAGCUCAACUAUUAGGCUUUCGGGGGAUACUGCCAGACUUGGAACCGGGAGAGGUAAGAGGUACUACAGGGGUAGGAGUGAAAUCUUGUAAUCCCUGUGGGACCACCUGUGGCGAAGGCGUCUUACCAGAACGGGUUCGACGGUGAGGGACGAAAGCUGGGGGCACGAACCGGAUUAGAUACCCGGGUAGUCCCAGCCGUAAACGAUGCUCGCUAGGUGUCAGGCAUGGCGCGACCGUGUCUGGUGCCGCAGGGAAGCCGUGAAGCGAGCCACCUGGGAAGUACGGCCGCAAGGCUGAAACUUAAAGGAAUUGGCGGGGGAGCACAACAACGGGUGGAGCCCUGCGGUUUAAUUGGGCUCAACGCCGGACAACUCACCGGGGGCGACAGCAAUAUGUAGGCCAAGCUGAAGACUUUGCCUGAAUCGCUGAGAAGUGGUGCAUGG